rnacentral:rRNA from 1 species
GAGUUUGAUCCUGGCUCAGGACGAACGCUGGCGGCGUGCUUAACACAUGCAAGUCGAACGAUGAACCGCUUUCGGGCGGGGAUUAGUGGCGAACGGGUGAGUAACACGUGGGCAAUCUGCCCUGCACUCUGGGACAAGCCCUGGAAACGGGGUCUAAUACCGGAUAUGACCGUCUGCCGCAUGGUGGAUGGUGUAAAGCUCCGGCGGUGCAGGAUGAGCCCGCGGCCUAUCAGCUUGUUGGUGAGGUAGUGGCUCACCAAGGCGACGACGGGUAGCCGGCCUGAGAGGGCGACCGGCCACACUGGGACUGAGACACGGCCCAGACUCNUACGGGAGGCAGCAGUGGGGAAUAUUGCACAAUGGGC